CUAUUGAAAACGAGGACAGAUACGUAGCGUCUUCUCGUAAGACUAAACUGUCACUCUCCAUCCUAUUACGAUCAGGCUUCAGGACGGAUCCUUAAUAUAAAACUCGUGUGGACGGCAUAGGAGGAUUAAAAUGUUAGAGACAAUGAAUUGUUUUCCAGUCCAAUCUCAGUGAAAAUGUUCAAGGCAAAGUGUAACUAUCAACCAGAAACAACGCAAGGGGGGAAAAAACCGAGGUUCUCCCCAGAAAACAGUCCUCGACGCUGGACUUGGAAGGCUACAAUUAUGCUACCUGGCAGCUCCGUCCAACGUCAGCUCCAGCUGCUCAGGAUUGCGUGAUGAUGACUGCCCUCCCUAAACGCUGAUCCGGCUUAGGAAGUGGGGAGUUUGGAAAAGGGGAGGGGAAGAAG